GCGGGUAUGGUUUAAUGGUAAAAUGUCUCCUUGCCAAGGAGAAGACGCGGGUUCGAUUCCUGCUAUCCGCA
rnacentral:tRNA from 1 species